UGUGUAUACAUUGGAAGACCUUCCAGAAUUUCUGAAUAUGUGCUGCCGAAGCGAGCAUGGGAGCAAGCUCUUUCCUGGAUCUUCUGCCUGAAGGUAAAGGCUUUCUCUCAGAGUUUUAGGAGCCCAUCCAACCAUAAUUGUCACUGCACUCAUACUGCUUUGGGGAAGGCUGGAAUACAGGAAAAUAAAACAAAGCAGAGAGACUUCAUCAAAGCACACAGGCAUGUCACUGCCCCAUCCUCUGAUCAGAGAAAGCAUGUCUUUUGGAGAUUUAUGUCCACACUUGCUGCACAGUUCCAGGAUUUGGGUUGCCAUUGGUCCAGGCUGGGAAACUGCUGUUCAGGUUGUUCUUUGAGUUUUGGUUGCCCUUUUCAAUGUGCUUGCUCUUAUUUAUUUUCAAAAUCCACAGAUAGUUGCUUUUUUUGUAUUCUGUUGCAGGGGUUUUAUUUGUAAUUACCAGGAGAGUUAGGGUGUAGUGGGCUUAUACCAUCUUAAAUGGAAACAGAAAUUCCUUGGUUAGCUCUUAAACUGAGCUGAUACGUAUGAGAUCUGAUAUGUCCACUGUGUAUUGCGAUAUAAAGAUCUUUAAUCCACUAGAGUUACUUAUUUGUUAAACAACUUAUUCACUAAAUAUUUGAAUACCUACUGUGUUCUACACCUUAAAAAUGUGUUAGAAUAUGCUUAUAAAUAAGUCCCAGUUUCUACCCAAGUGUUUCAUUGUCCAGUACGGAAGACAGAUAUACCAGUAAUUGCAGUACAGAAUAAGUGCUAUCAUGGUUCAUGGAUUUUCUUUUAUGGGAGUGGGUAGAAACCCCAAGAAGUGAACGUCUUCAAAGGCUAAGCUCUUUGGAUCAGACGUCCCCUUGGUCUUCUGGCAGCUCCCUGUUGCUUUCUCUGCUUUUUAUUAAUAGUCCAGAAUAGUUCAUUCCAAGGUACAACUAGAUGUUUCUAUUUUACAAAGAGAUUUAAUGACAUAUAUUUUAAGCAAAAUUAAAAGUAAAUUCUCACCUAACUGGGUUAGUUGAGACAAAUUUAUUUAGAAACCAGGAAUCUUUUCCAAUUUCCUCUGCCAUCCUUACACCUUGGUCUCAGGAUCUUAUCUCUUGACCAAGAGUAAAUCCCCUCCAUUGCACAUUUUGAAAAUACAUCCUUUUUACCGUGGAGCCAGUUCCAAGCUGUAGAUAUGAAUUCUAUUUUAGCUUCUUUUCAGGGCUUCAAACCACCCCUGAUUUUAGUUAUCUAUCACUGCUUAAAAAAUUAUCCCUAAAACUUAGUAGCUUAAAAUAGCAAAUAUCUAUUAUCUCACAUUUUCUGUGAGCCAGAUGUUAGAUGCCUCUGGUUCUUAGUCCCUUGUGAGGUUUCAAUUAAGUUAUCAGAUGAGACCACAGUCUCAUGUGAGGCUCAGCUGGGGAAACAUGCACUUCUGAGUUUGUUCAGUUCCUCUUAGGGUGUUGGGCUGAGGGCUUCUGUUCUUUGCUAGCUGUUAAUGAGUUCUGUGCCAUGUAUCUACAGUUCCUUGCUGUCUCUUCAGAGGGCUGCUCUUCACAUGGCAGCUGACUUCUCUCAGGACAAAUGUGUGAGAGAGUGGGAGGACAUUAAAGACAGAAGCCGUGGUCUUUAUGGAACCUAACCCCAGUAAUAAGCCAUCACUUUUUGUCAUAUUCUGUUUGUUAAGAGGAAGCCACUAAUCCAGCCCACACUCAAAAUGAAAGGAUUGCAAAUCUUGACUGCUUGGAUCAGUGCAUUUCUUAUUUGCUUUGCCCAGGACUUCUCUAUUUUAAGUCAUGGGCUAAUAUAACCUUCAAAUGCUGACUCAAAGCUUCUCAAACUUCAUAGAUAUUUGUUUCUGUCCUUUCAUUUUGUUUAUUCAUCUUACCUUUGAACUAUUUCUUUUCUAGUUUGGAUUCAAUCAAAUUAGAUCCCCCUUUAAAAAGAAUUCAUUUGAAUCAGUUCUGAUGAGAUGGAUGAAACUG
rnacentral:lncRNA from 1 species